CAUUUAACCUAGUAUCCCUUGAAGUCAAGAAAACUAUACGCAUGUGCAUAAUAACCUAAACAAACCCUGUAGUAAGAACGUAUAUUAAACCUAAAUGGUUCUCUAUUUUUUAUCGAUGUACAAUAUCAAAUAUCAGUUUAAUAACGGUGACAUAUAAGUAAAACUCCACUUCAGUUCUUAUAUGACAGAAAUAGAUUCAUCGGAAUUCAGAGAACUCUAGCAUUUUUAUCACAACUGGGGAAUUUCCUCUGACGUGUUUCUGAAUUUACAAAAACACUAAAUACAAAUACUGCUUGAUUCUGAUUUUCCGUGUUGUUAAAAACACGCAUAUAAGUCAAGGGAAAUAUCAAACAUGAAGAUUAUGAAAAGAACAUUAUAGGAAAGUUGUUUAAGUUCAACCCCUUUGUUUGUUUUUACCUUUUAAACCAAGACAAUCAUAAGAAUCUGAGACGGUCAUUAAUGUUUAGAAUAAAACGGUUGACGUGAGGGCACUGUCCUGAGCCACUGG
rnacentral:lncRNA from 1 species